ACGGCUCAGUAACACGUCGAUAAUCUUCCUUGAGGUCCGCGAUAACCUUGCGAAAGUGAGGGUAAUAGCGGGCAAGGAAUGGACAUUGGAAAAUUCCAUUCCUGAAAAGCAAUGCCUCAAGAUGAGUCGGCUGGCCCAUCAGGCUGUUGGCGAGGUAACGGCUCACCAAACCGAAGACGGGUAGGGGCCUUGAGAGAGGUUGCCCCGAGAAGGACACUGAGAUACUGGUCCUAGCCCCACGGGGUGCAGCAGGGACGAAAACUUUACAAUGCGCGCAAGCGUGAUAAGGGAAUUCCGAGUGUAUGCACUUUAUGUGCAUACUUUUCUCAAGAGCAAAAAUCUUGGGGAACAAGUGGUGGGCAAGACUGGUGCCAGCCGCCGCGGUAACCCCAGCGCCCAAGUGGGAACCACUAUUAUUGGGUCUAAAGCAUCCGUAGCCGGCUUUGCAAAUUUUCUGUGAAAUCGUUCUGCUCAACAGGACGGCGUGCAGGAAACACUACAUGGCUAGGGACCAGGAAGGGUAGACGGUAUUCCUUGGGGAGCGGUAAAAUGUUAUAAUCCAAGGAGGACCACCGAUGGCGAAGGCAGUCUACUAGAAUGGAUCCGACGGUGAGGGAUGAAAGCUAGGGGAGCGAUCCGGAUUAGAUACCCGAGUAGUCCUAGCCGUAAACGCUGCGAGUCAGAUGUUACACUAUCUUAGGGGUAGUGUAGUGUCGCAAUGAAGAUGUUAAACUCGCCACCUGGGAAGUACGGUCGCAAGGCUGAAACUUAAAGGAAUUGGCGGGGGAGCAC
rnacentral:rRNA from 1 species